rnacentral:rRNA from 1 species
AAUUGAAGAGUUUGAUCAUGGCUCAGAUUGAACGCUGGCGGCAGGCCUAACACAUGCAAGUCGAGCGGAAACGAGUUAUCUGAACCUUCGGGGAACGAUAACGGCGUCGAGCGGCGGACGGGUGAGUAAUGCCUAGGAAAUUGCCCUGAUGUGGGGGAUAACCAUUGGAAACGAUGGCUAAUACCGCAUGAUGCCUACGGGCCAAAGAGGGGGACCU